AGAAGUGGAACACUUAAAUCCGCUUCUGAUUAUUCAGAUGAGUACGCAUUUUUUUAUGCCUUUUUAUUUACAUAGUAAUACGGUUAAAAGAGUUAAAACGCUUACAUAGCGUUUGUAAGGAGGAAACACCCAUGCAAAAUGGUAAAGUAAAAUGGUUUAACGCUGAGAAAGGUUUCGGCUUCAUCGAAGUUGAAGGCGGAAACGACGUAUUCGUUCACUUUUCUGCGAUUCAAUCAGAAGGCUUCAAGUCUCUUGAAGAAGGACAAGAAGUAUCUUUCGAAAUCGUUGAUGGCGAGCGUGGACCACAAGCUGCUAACGUAACAAAACUUUAAUAGUAAAGUUUAGAAUGCCAGACUGCCCCCGGGCGGUGCUGGCAUUU
rnacentral:sRNA from 1 species